rnacentral:rRNA from 1 species
ACUCCUGCGGGAGGCAGCAGUGGGGAAUUUUGGACAAUGGGCGAAAGCCUGAUCCAGCAAUGCCGCGUGUGUGAAGAAGGCCUUCGGGUUGUAAAGCACUUUUGUCCGGAAAGAAAUCCUUGGCUCUAAUACAGUCGGGGGAUGACGGUACCGGAAGAAUAAGCACCGGCUAACUACGUGCCAGCAGCCGCGGUAAUACGUAGGGUGCGAGCGUUAAUCGGAAUUACUGGGCGUAAAGCGUGCGCAGGCGGUUUGCUAAGACCGAUGUGAAAUCCCCGGGCUCAACCUGGGAACUGCAUUGGUGACUGGCAGGCUAGAGUAUGGCAGAGGGGGGUAGAAUUCCACGUGUAGCAGUGAAAUGCGUAGAGAGGUGGAGGAAUACCGAUGGCGAAGGCAGCCCCCUGGGCCAAUACUGACGCUCAUGCACGAAAGCGUGGGGAGCAAACAGGAUUAGAUACCCCAGUAGUCCC